rnacentral:rRNA from 1 species
UGAGGGGGAUAUUUGGCACAAUGGGCGCAAGCCUGAUGCAGCGACGCCGCGUGAGGGAAGACGGUCCUCUGGAUUGUAAACCUCUGUCUUAUGGGACGAAAAGGACGGUACCAUAGGAGGAAGCUCCGGCUAACUACGUACCAGCAGCCGCGGUAAUACGUAGGGAGCGAGCGUUGUCCGGAAUUACUGGGUGUAAAGGGAGCGUAGGCGGGGGUAUCAAGUCUGUUGUUAAAUCUACCGGCUCAACUGGUAGCUGCGGCAGAAACUGGUACUCUUGAGUGAAGUAGAGGCAGGCGGAAUUCCGUGUGUAGCGGUGAAAUGCGUAGAUAUACGGAGGAACACCAGUGACGAAGGCGGCCUGCUGGGCUUUAACUGACGCUGAGGCUCGAAAGUGUGGGGAGCAAACAGGAUUAGAUACCCUGGUAGU